AAAUUGAAGAGUUUGAUCAUGGCUCAGAUUGAACGCUGGCGGCAGGCCUAACACAUGCAAGUCGAAGGGUAACAGGUAGCAGCUUGCUGUGUCGCUGACGAGUGGCGGACGGGUGAGUAAUGUCUGGGAAACUGCCUGAUGGAGGGGGAUAACUACUGGAAACGGUAGCUAAUACCGCAUAACGUCGCAAGACCAAAGAGGGGGAC
rnacentral:rRNA from 1 species